AAAAUCCGGGGAUCUUAGAUGAGGAGUGAUAACGAGGCGGCUUGCCGCUGAAGUGAGCGAUACCCUGCUUCCAAGAAAAGCCACUAAGCUUCAGCUACACACGACCGUACCGCAAACCGACACUGGUGCGCGAGAUGAGUAUUCUAAGGCGCUUGAGAGAACUCUGGAGAAGGAACUCGGCAAAUUGACACCGUAACUUCGGAAGAAGGUGUGCCUUUAGUAGGUGAACCCGUACAGGGGGAGCCCAAUGAGGCCGCAGAGAAUCGGUGGCUGCAACUGUUUAUUAAAAACACAGCACUCUGCAAAGACGAAAGUCGACGUAUAGGGUGUGACUCCUGCCCGGUGCUGGAAGAUUAAAUGAUGGGGUGCAAGCUCUUGAUUGAAGUCCCAGUAAACGGCGGCCGUAACUAUAACGGUCCUAAGGUAGCGAAAUUCCUUGUCGGGUAAGUUCCGACCUGCACGAAUGGAGUAAUGAUGGCCACACUGUCUCCUCCAGAGACUCAGCGAAGUUGAAAUGCUUGUGAUGAUGCAAUCUCCCCGCGGAAAGACGGAAAGACCCCAUGAACCUUUACUGUAGCUUUACAUUGGACUUUGAACAGAUCUGUGUAGGAUAGGUGGGAGGCUUUGAAGCGGUGCCGCUAGGUAUCGUGGAGCCAACGUUGAAAUACCACCCUGGUGUGUUUGAGGUUCUAACCUUGGCCCGUUAUCCGGGUUGGGGACAGUGUAUGGUGGGCAGUUUGACUGGGGCGGUCUCCUCCCAAAGUGUAACGGAGGAGUUCGAAGGUACGCUAGGCACGGUCGGAAAUCGUGCUGAUAGUGCAUAGGCAUAAGCGUGCUUGACUGCGAGACUGACAAGUCGAGCAGGUACGAAAGUAGGACUAAGUGAUCCGGUGGUUCUGUAUGGAAGGGCCAUCGCUCAACGGAUAAAAGGUACUCUGGGGAUAACAGGCUGAUACCGCCCAAGAGUUCAUAUCGACGGCGGUGUUUGGCACCUCGAUGUCGGCUCAUCUCAUCCUGGGGCUGUAGCCGGUCCCAAGGGUAUGGCUGUUCGCCAUUUAAAGAGGUACGUGAGCUGGGUUUAAAACGUCGUGAGACAGUUUGGUCCCUAUCUUCCGUGGGCGCUGCAAGAUUGAGAGAGCCUGCUCCUAGUACGAGAGGACCGGAGUGGACGCACCUCUGGUGUAUCGGUUGUCACGCCAGUGGCAUUGCCGAGUAGCUAAGUGCGGAAGUGAUAACCGCUGAAAGCAUCUAAGCGGGAAACUCGUCUCAAGAUGAGUCUUGCCGGGGCCUUGAGCCCCCUGAAGAGUCGUUCGAGACCAGGACGUUGAUAGGUCGGGUGUGGAAGCGCAGUAAUGCGUUAAGCUAACCGAUACUAAUUGCUCGUGAGGCUUGACCUC
rnacentral:rRNA from 1 species